UCACACCCGUUCCCAUUCCGAACACGGAAGUUAAGCUCUUCAGCGCCGAUGGUAGUUGGGGGAUCUCCCCCUGUGAGAGUAGGACGUCGCCAAGC
rnacentral:rRNA from 1 species